UUUUGUUUUUACUUUUCUCCUCUCUCUCGAUACGAACGAGGAAAAAACUAUUGGCAUAAAUCAAUUUAUCAAAAUUAAGGAUUAAGGAAUUGGGGUUUUUUCGGGAGUGAAGGAUGAUCCAGAAAAGAACUUUCAAAGGAUUGAUUUGAACAAAUCAUGUGGCUUUCUUUCUUAAGACUUAGAGAUCGAUUCUCCUUAGCCGAACUUAGGUUUUGUUUAAUCGGUUUUUUUGAUUUUUUUUUUAUUAUUUUUUAUUAUGGGUUUAUUAUGUAUUUAUCUCUAAUAUCCUGCAACCUGUUUCAAUUGCGAUUAAUUUCUGGUUCGAUUGAUUGUGACUUUGAUCAUUGUAGCGUUUUUGAAUUUGUUGUUCGGAUGUGUUUUUUUUUUUUUCUGGGUCAUACUCUCUUUGGUAUUUGACUUAGGCAGUUUGCAAUUAGGUUUCUGGGAAGUGUAGUGUUUGAUUGUUUGAAUGGUGUCAUUGAUAUUUCAAUUUUAAGUUCAGUUUUCCCCAGUUUCAGUCAGGAGUCAACUUUGUAGAUAUUGCAGCCAAUUUUGGGUGGGUAUAUCUUUGACCAUAGGACAAUGGAAUUUAAUUGGGAUCUUAGUGUUACGAAUUAUGACAUUAGGUGUUUGUUGAUUGUACUAGAUGAUGAUGAAACUAUAAGUGUUGAAAGUUUGUUCUGGUAAUAAACUUAUCUCUUUUGUCAUUGCGUUUCUCUCUUUUUAGAGUCUUGAACAUCAAGCCUAGGAUUUCAGUUUUGCACAUCUGGUGGAUCUUACUUUUGUUGACACAUAGUUUCAAUGUUUAGUUUUAUUGUCCAGAACGUACGACGAUGGUUUCUAAUGAUUGAUUGCAGAUUCAAUCUGUUCUGAAUUCUACUAGAUCGUUGUGGUUUAGUCAGUUUAUGAUUCAUUGUGUCUCUGAUCAUAUUUUCUGAAUCAUGUGUUAUAACACCCAUAAGUGUUUCCCCAUCUUCAAAACUCUCUCUGUUUGUCCAUUCACAGUAGUAUCAUUCGAAGCUAUUAGAAUUUUAGGCUCUUUCCUCCCAUGAAAGAAGUUGAAGGCUCUUAAUUAGUGCUUUAAUCCUGUUUUUUAAGAAAUAUUUUUUUUUAGUUUAUGUGAACUGAGAAUGUGUGUGAAUCCCUAUUUUUACUGGUUUGUAUGGAGAAACCUUGGAGCUCAUACAAUGCAAGGCUUUUGAACCCGUGUUAUUGAAUUGGUAUCAAGAAAUUCCGACUGAUCCUAUUUAGGCUGGCCAAUUUAUGCUAAUGACAAAUCCUCAUAAGAUGAAGAACCAAGACUGUCGUUGGUGUUAGAAACUGUUGUGUCAUUGCCGAAGCCUAAAAAACCUGAAGAAGCAGCAACUAAUUCUUCCAUGAAACCUGUAUCAUUAGGAGAAGCAGAGAGGACAUAGAAGCAACUAAUUCUCUCUCACAUUGAUUCUCUGAUUAAUUAAGCUCGUUGUUGCUCCGAAAAAAAUCUGAAGAGAGAGAGAUUCAGAUUCUUCUUAAAAGGAGGCUUGGCUCAUUAAAACGAGAAACCAACACAAUCACCGCCAUGUAUAAGAAAGAUGGUGAAGAGAGCUUUGCAAACUGCAAGAUUUGGCACCGGAGAGAGCUUUUGCUGAGUUGUUCUCUGCAACUCAGUCCUCCACUUGGUGAUCAUCAACUUCUUAAGAUAGGUGUUUCACUUUCCUAUCUACAAAUGGCUUUUGUGUCUUCAUGUACUGGAGCUUUUAGGUGUCACUUGGAAUCAAAACUCUAUUGGAAUCAAAACUCUGUUUUGAGAUUUUUUUUUCUUGUUGUCAAAAAAUCAAAAAUGAAAUAUAUUUAUGUUUUUUUAUU